GCGAAAGUUUUCUUCGGAAAACGAGUAGAGUGGCGCACGGGUGAGUAACGCGUAAGUAAUCUACCCUGGCAUCUGGGAUAACCCACCGAAAGGUGUGCUAAUACCGGAUACGUUGAUUUAUCAAGAAAGGUGGCCUCUGAUUUAAGCUACUGUGCUGGGAGGAGCUUGCGUACCAUUAGCUAGUUGGUGGGGUAAUGGCCUACCAAGGCAACGAUGGUUAGCGGGUCUGAGAGGAUGAUCCGCCACACUGGAACUGGAACACGGACCAGACUCCUACGGGAGGCAGCAGUGAGGAAUAUUGCGCAAUGGGGGAAACCCUGACGCAGCGACGCCGCGUGGAUGAUGAAGGCCUUCGGGUCGUAAAAUCCUGUCAGAAGGGAAGAAAUGCUACUUCUCUAAUAUAGUUGUAGUUUGACGGUACCUUCAAAGGAAGCACCGGCUAACUCCGUGCCAGCAGCCGCGGUAAUACGGAGGGUGCAAGCGUUGUUCGGAAUUACUGGGCGUAAAGCGCGCGUAGGCGGUUGUGUAAGUCAGAUGUGAAAGCCCAUGGCUCAACCAUGGACGUGCAUUUGAUACUGCAUAACUUGAGUACUGGAGGGGGUGGUGGAAUUCCCGGUGUAGAGGUGAAAUUCGUAGAUAUCGGGAGGAAUACCGGUGGCGAAGGCGACCACCUGGCCAGAUACUGACGCUGAGGUGCGAAAGCGUGGGGAGCAAACAGGAUUAGAUACCCU
rnacentral:rRNA from 1 species